AGGAGCUGGUCUAGUGCCGCCUCUCUUCAGUCAUUUUUUCACUAGCUUAAGAGGAGAGAAGCUGCAGCAGUAGACUUGGAGCAGGGGAGGACCCUGCCUACCUGAACACAGAUGGCCCCCAAGGACUUCCAAAGAAAGGGGGUGCAACAGACAUCCUGGAACUUUCACUAAGAAGGCAAGGUGACAGCGUGACUUUUCUCAUGAAUGGAAGACCACAGCCAAACCUGGCUGUAAAGUGCUGGAAGGACUUUGGGUGAGCACUGCUCUAUAAGACAUAAAAGUAUCUAGUUAAGUAAGUCUAGGCUCUAGAAUGCAUGUUAUGAUUUUAUUUUAUAUGUAACCAUUUGUUUCCAACAUGUGUACUUGCUAUCACUUGAAUUUCUAUAUUCUGGUAAAUAUACUGUUAGUUGUUUUCACUAUAAAUGCCUUUAAGUGCU